rnacentral:rRNA from 1 species
GAUAACGCGUGGCGGCGCACAUAAGACAUGCAAGUCGAACGGGACUUAACUCAAGUUCUUUUAGAUUGAGAGCGGUUAGUGGCGGACUGGUGAGUAACACGUAAGCAACCUGCCUAUUAGAGGGGAAUAACAGUGAGAAAUCAUUGCUAAUACCGCAUAUGCUAACAGUAUCGCAUGAUACAGUUAGGAAAGGAGCAAUCCGCUAAUAGAUGGGCUUGCGUCUGAUUAGCUAGUUGGUGGGGUAACGGCCUACCAAGGCGACGAUCAGUAGCCGGACUGAGAGGUUGAACGGCCACAUUGGGACUGAGAUACGGCCCAG